CCUACGGGGUGCAGCAGUAGGGAAUCUUCCACAAUGGGCGAAAGCCUGAUGGAGCACCGCCGCGUGGGUGAAGAAGGUCUUCGGAUCGUAAAACCCUGUUGUUAGAGAAGAAAGUGCGUGAGAGUAACUGUUCACGUUUCGACGGUAUCUAACCAGAAAGCCACGGCUAACUACGUGCCAGCAGCCGCGGUAAUACGUAGGUGUCAAGCGUUAUCCGGAUUUAUUUGGCGUAAAGGGAACGCAGGCGGGCUUUUAAGUCUGAUGUGAAAGCCUUCGGCUUAACCGGAGUAGUGCAUUGGAAACUGGGAGACUUGAGUGCAGAAGAGGAGAGUGGAACGCCAUGUGUAGCGGUGAAAUGCGUAGAUAUAUGGAAGAACACCAGUGGCGAAAGCAGCUCUCUGGUCUGUAACUGACGCUGAGGUUCGAAAGCGUGGGUAGCAAACAGGAUUAGAUACCCUAGUAGUC
rnacentral:rRNA from 1 species